rnacentral:rRNA from 1 species
UACAGAGGUGGCAAGCGUUGUUCGGAAUUACUGGGCGUAAAGGGCGCGUAGGCGGUCUUCUAAGUCCUGUGUGAAAUCCCUCGGCUCAACUGAGGAACUGCACGGGAUACUGGAAGACUUGAGUUCGGGAGAGGGAAGCGGAAUUCCGGGUGUAGCGGUGAAAUGCGUAGAUAUCCGGAGGAACACCGGUGGCGAAGGCGGCUUCCUGGACCGAUUACUGACGCUGAGGCACGAAAGCGUGGGGAGCAAACAGG